UACGUAGGGUGCGAGCGUUAAUCGGAAUUACUGGGCGUAAAGCGUGCGCAGGCGGUUUUGUAAGCCAGAUGUGAAAUCCCCGGGCUUAACCUGGGAAUGGCAUUUGGGACUGCAAGGCUUGAGUGCGGCAGAGGAGACUGGAAUUCCUGGUGUAGCAGUGAAAUGCGUAGAUAUCAGGAGGAAUACCGAUGGCGAAGGCAGGUCUCUGGGCUGAAACUGACGAUCAUGCACGAAAGCGUGGGGAGCAAACAGG
rnacentral:rRNA from 1 species